UAUUGGCAACAGAGAUUGGGUUUCUCGUUUCUUCUGAUGGUGUCAAUACAGCAACGGAGUUCGAUUAAGGUUCGAAGUCCAUGCUACAAAUAUAAUGUCGCACAGUUAAGGCAGCUGUAUGACUCGAAUGUUGGACUUAGAUUGACUCAUAAAGAGUAUAAUCGUAAUGCCCUGAAACUGGCAUAAUGGGACAGCAGCAGUCUUCGAGUGAUAGCUUGGAAACAUCGCCAGCAUCUGUUGGUCCUGUUGAAGGGGGUGAUGCAGACACCACCAGGGAAGAGUUUUUGAUGGACUUUCCAUUCCUUUCGUUAAGGCUGUAGGUAUAGUCUUGGGGAGAAGAACGUUACUCUGUGACUGUUCUGGGUGAACGUGUAAAGUCAUGAUUUUCCUUCAGCAUCAACUGAGAAAUCCUGGUGGAUAAUUAAGUAAUUUUUUAAGCAGGUUUUUGAGAUGAGAAAUGUG